UACGGGGGGGGCAAGCGUUGUUCGGAAUUACUGGGCGUAAAGGGCUCGUAGGUGGCCAACUAAGUCGGACGUGAAAUCCCUCGGCUUAACCGGGGAACUGCGUCCGAUACUGGUUGGCUUGAGUUUGGGAGGGGGAUGCGGAAUUCCAGGUGUAGCGGUGAAAUGCGUAGAUAUCUGGAGGAACACCGGUGGCGAAGGCGGCAUCCUGGGCCAAUACUGACGCUGAGGAGCGAAAGCCAGGGGAGCAAACGGG
rnacentral:rRNA from 1 species